UACGUAGGGGGCUAGCGUUGUCCGGAAUCAUUGGGCGUAAAGCGCGUGUAGGCGGUCCGGUAAGUCCGCUGUGAAAGUCGGGGGCUCAACCCUCGGAUGCCGGUGGAUACUGUCGGGCUUGAGUACGGAAGAGGCGAGUGGAAUUCCUGGUGUAGCGGUGAAAUGCGCAGAUAUCAGGAGGAACACCAAUUGCGAAGGCAGCUCGCUGGAACGGUACUGACGCUGAGGCGCGAAAGCGUGGGGAGCAAACAGG
rnacentral:rRNA from 1 species